UGAGCAACCUGCCCUUAGCUCUGGGAUAACCCCGGGAAACCGGGCUAAUACCGGAUACGAGUCCGAGCGGCAUCACACGGACUGGAAAGUUUUUCGGCUAAGGAUGGGCUCGCGGCCUAUCAGCUUGUUGGUGGGGUAAUGGCCUACCAAGGCGACGACGGGUAGCCGGCCUGAGAGGGCGACCGGCCACACUGGGACUGGGACACGGCCCAGACUCCUACGGGAGGCA
rnacentral:rRNA from 1 species